rnacentral:misc_RNA from 1 species
UCCGGUUCUUCACCAGCAGUCUCCUUAGAGUCCCCACCAUAACGUGCUGGUAACUAAGGAUAAGGGUUGCGCUCGUUACGGGACUUAACCCAACAUCUCACAACACGAGCUGACGACAGCCAUGCAGCACCUGUCUCUACGUUCCUUUCGGCACUUCUCCAUCUCUGGAAAAUUCGUAGGAUGUCAAGGGUAGGUAAGGUUCUUCGCGUUGCAUCGAAUUAAACCACAUGCUCCACCGCUUGUGCGGGCCCCCGUCAAUUCCUUUGAGUUUUAAUCUUGCGACCGUACUCCCCAGGCGGAAGACUUAUCGCGUUAGCUUCGAUACUAACAGGUCUAAGCCUGACAACAUCUAGUCUUCACCGUUUACAGCGUGGACUAC